AGUGAACGCUGGCGGUAGGCCUAACACAUGCAAGUCGAACGGCAGCACAGUAAGAGCUUGCUCUUACGGGUGGCGAGUGGCGGACGGGUGAGGAAUACAUCGGAAUCUACUUUUUCGUGGGGGAUAACGUAGGGAAACUUACGCUAAUACCGCAUACGACCUACGGGUGAAAGCAGGGGAUCUUCGGACCUUGCGCGAUUGAAUGAGCCGAUGUCGGAUUAGCUAGUUGGCGGGGUAAAGGCCCACCAAGGCGACGAUCCGUAGCUGGUCAGAGGAGAUGAUCAGCCACAAUGGAACUGGGGACAGGUCCAGACUCCUACGGGAGGCAGCAGUGGGGAAUAUUGGACAAUGGGCGGAAGCCUGAUCCAGCCAUACCGGGUGGGUGAAGAAGGCCUUCGGGUUGUAAAACCCUUUUGUUGGGGAAGAAAAGCAGCAGGUUAAUACCCCGCUGUUCUGACGGUACCCAAAGAAUAAGCACCGGCUAACUUCGUG
rnacentral:rRNA from 1 species